GCACUUCUGAGGAGUCCAAUACUAGGGCGAAACGGUCGUCCUGUGC
rnacentral:hammerhead_ribozyme from 1 species